AUGCAACCCGCACGCCGUCGGUCCCGCCUCCCCUGGUUCCUUGCCGAGCGCCACGAAGAGGAAGGGACUCAGAGAAUGGUGAAGGGGAAGGGGAAUGAGAAGGAAAAUGCGCUUGGGAAGGAGAAGGAGAAGGGCAAGAUGAAGGCAAAGGAGAAGAGCUUAAGUUACUUAAUUAGGCAAGAAUCGCCGCUGCCUCCGCCGGUUCGGAAGAAGGGCAAGCCGCCGAAGCCGAUUAAGAAGGCGAAAGACUAUACCAAUGCCCCAAUCUCAGAUUUGAUUUGUAGGGUAAAAAAACACCCGCCACCGCCUCCGCAUCUCCCCGACCGCACCGGCGCUGGCGUGCGUGCUGCGGAAGCUGCUGCCUCCGGCUCCGCAACCAACUCUAAGAUGGCUCAUGCAUCUACUAUGGAGGAGGACGAGGACGAGGACGAGGGCAUUCAGGAGGAGGAGGACAAGGACGAUGAGGAAUACGAGGAAUUUGUUGUCCCGCCUGGAGGUGAUUAUAUGUCGGAUUCCGACGAUGAUACGUCGGAUGGGUACAAGGAAUCAGCUGCUGAACUAGAAGCCGAAGGAGGUGAUGAUAUGUCCGAUGAGGAAAUUGUGCAUGAUAUUUCCAGUGAUGAGGAGGCAAGAGAAAGGAACAAGAAAAAGACCAAGAGGCCAAGAGCCAAUGCUCUUAUUAGGACGUCGUCAAAAGUUUGGGUCCAUUUUCAUAAGGAUAAGAGGCCAUCAAAGAAGCACCCUGGAAAGCUUGUGUUGAAGGCAUGUUGCAAUUAUUGUGAGUCUGAAUAUGCAUAUAAACAAGGUGGUAGCACCUCAACUCUUAGAAGGCAUCACAAAGUGUGUAAGAAUUACAAGAACAAGAAAGCAAAGGAAGCCAUCCAAGCAAAUCUUUUCUUCCGAAGAACCAAUGCUCCAACAAUGGACCAUUCCAUUGAGUAUGACCAAGGAAUAAUCAAAGAGCUUGUUGCGAAGAUGAUAUGUCUGCAUGAGUAUUCAUUCAGAAUGGUUGAACAUAAGUGGUUCAAUAUUCUAAUGAAGAGCAUGAAUCCAAAUUAUCAACCCAUUGGAAGGAAGGCAAUAAAAAGUGAGUGCAUGCAGGUUUUCCAUAGAGAAAAAGAGGUGCGUAAAUCCCUCCUAAAGGGUGUGGACUCCAUUAGCUUAACUACGGAUUUGUGGACAAGUAAUCAGACCAUAUCUUACAUGUGUGUGGUUGCACAUUAUAUAGAUGAGGAUUGGAAGAUGCAAACUCAUGUGCUUGCUUUCAUAGAGUUGGAUCCUCCUCACUAUGGAAAUGUCAUUGCUGAUGCUCUCUAUGCUUGUGUGACCGAAUGGAAGAUUGAGAACAAAAUCACGUCCGUCACACUCGACAAUGCUUCUAACAAUGAUGGUGCCGUUGAUGCUUUGAAGGCAAAGUUCUUGGUUCGUAGAGGUGCGGACUUCGGUGCCCAAUAUUUCCAUGUCUGUUGUUGUGCACACAUCCUUAAUUUGGUGGUGCAAGAUGGGACAGAGGUCUUGGACCCUUUGAUAAAGAGCUUGAGACAGACGGUGAAAUAUUUCAAGAGGUCACCUUCUUGUCUCAAAGCAUUUGUUGACACUUGCAAAAGCUUAGGUGUCACGGUUGGUAAGCGUUUGCACCUAGAUUGCAAAACAAGAUGGAGUUCAACCUAUAAGAUGAUUAGAACUGCCUGUAAAUACAAAGGAGCCUUGACCUCUCAUGUGGGUUCCGAUGCCAACUAUGCUUGGGCGCCAUUAGAAGCAGAGUGGGAUAUGUAUGACCUUAUUGCUCCAUUGCUUAAGAGUUUGGCUGUGGUGACGACCGCAUUUUCAGGCAGCUUAUAUCCUACUUCAAACAUCUUCUACUUACACAUUGUUGGCGUCAAGGUUGCAAUCAAAGAGGCAAUGAAAAAGUACAAGUGA
rnacentral:rRNA from 1 species